GAUGAACGCUGGCGGCGUGCCUAAUACAUGCAAGUCGAGCGAACGGACGAGAAGCUUGCUUCUCUGAUGUUAGCGGCGGACGGGUGAGUAACACGUCGAUAACCUACCUAUAAGACUGGGAUAACUUCGGGAAACCGGAGCUAAUACCGGAUAAUAUUUUGAACCGCAUGGUUCAAAAGUGAAAGACGGUCUUGCUGUCACUUAUAGAUGGAUCCGCGCUGCAUUAGCUAGUUGGUAAGGUAACGGCUUACCAAGGCAACGAUGCAUAGCCGACCUGAGAGGGUGAUCGGCCACACUGGAACUGAGACACGGUCCAGACUCCUACGGGAGGCAGCAGUAGGGAAUCUUCCGCAAUGGGCGAAAGCCUGACGGAGCAACGCCGCGUGAGUGAUGAAGGUCUUCGGAUCGUAAAACUCUGUUAUUAGGGAAGAACAUAUGUGUAAGUAACUGUGCACAUCUUGACGGUACCUAAUCAGAAAGCCACGGCUAACUACGUG
rnacentral:rRNA from 1 species